UCAACUGAACUCACAUGAACCCGAUCGUGUUCAAACUGAUCUGCUCUUCCCGAGCAGAGCCAUUACAAUGUCGCCUUGGGCCUUGCUCUUUCUGCUGGCCGCCCACCUUGCGGCCGGCGAGCCCGCCUCCAUCACGACGCUCACCGCCACUCCGGCGAAGCUGACAAAACCAGACCACGCAGUCACCCUCCAAUGGUCCAACCUCCCCGACCCGAGCCCGCUCGACUACGUGGCCGUCUACUCCCCGCCGUCCUCCGGCGACCUCGACUACCUCGGCUUCCUCCUCCUCAACUCCUCCGCCUCCUGGGCCACGGGCGCCGGCAGCCUCACGCUCCCGCGCCUGCCCGACCUGCGCGCCCCCUACCAGUUCCGCCUCUUCCGGGGCCAGAACCCGCGCGUUGACCAGGAUGCCGACCCGCUCCCCGACGCCAGCCGCCGCGCCGCCGUCUCGGGCAACGUGGCCUACGAGGGAUCCGGCGCCCGGCCCGCCCAGCUGCACCUGGCGUUCACCGACGAAGUGGACGAGAUGCGGGUGCUGUUCGUGUGCGGCGACGGCGGGGAGAGGUCGGUGAGGUACGGGCCCGCCGGCCGGCGCGAGGAGGAGUGGGAGGAGGUGCCGGCGGAGGCGAGCACGUACGAGCGGCGCCACAUGUGCGGCUACCCGGCGAACCAUAGCGUCGGGUGGCGCCACCCCGGGUUCGUCUUCGACGGCGUCAUGAAGGGGCUGCAGCCUGGGUCAAGGUACUUCUACAAGGUUGGCAAUGAUCUAGGAGGUUGGAGUGAGACAUACAGCUUCAUCUCACGCGACACCGAGGCCAACGAGACCAUCGCAUUCCUCUUUGGUGAUCUGGGCACUUACGUUCCUUACAACACCUACUUUCGAACACCUCAAGAAAGUUUGUCAACUGUGAAAUGGAUUCUCCGUGAUCUCCAGGCCCUUAACGACAAACCUGCAGUCAUUUCACAUAUCGGUGACAUCAGCUACCCUAAGGGCUAUUCGUGGUUAUGGGAUCAUUUCUUCGAACAGAUUGAGCCUAUUGCUGCCAAUACACCAUACCAUGUCUGCAUUGGGAAUCAUGAGUACGACUGGCCUUCCCAACCUUGGAAACCCUCCUGGGCUGCAAACAUAUAUGGUGGGAAUGAUGCUGGCGGCGAAUGCGGAGUACCAUACAGCACCAAGUUCAAAAUGCCUGGAAAUUCUUCUCUCCCUACCAGCACCAUUGCUCCUGACACCCGGAAUCUCUACUACUCCUUUGACGCAGGUGUUGUUCAUUUUGUUUACAUGUCUACUGAGACUGACUUCACUCAUGGCAGUGAUCAAUACAACUAUAUAAAAGCCGACCUCGAGCGCCUCAACCGGAGUCGAACACCAUUUGUCGUGUUCCAGGGCCACCGUCCGAUGUACACCUCAAGCAACGAGUCCAAGGACACGGCUCACAGGGAGCAGAUGAUUCAGCAUCUGGAGCCUCUCUUUGUGAAACACGGCGUGACACUCGCUCUGUGGGGGCAUGUUCACUGGUAUGAGAGGUUUUGCCCCAUGAAGAACUAUCAGUGCCUUAACACUUCGUCGAGCUUCGUGUACCCUGGUGCUCCUGCGCAUGUUGUGAUCGGGAUGGCUGGGCAGGACUACCAAGCAAGCUGGGAACCGAGACCUGACCACCCUGAAGUCCCCAUAUUCCCUCAGCCGCAGAGGUCCAUGUACCGUGGUGCUGAAUUCGGGUACGCAAAACUUGUGGCCACAAGGGAGAAGUUGACACUGACAUACAUUGGUAACCAUGAUGGGCAAGUCCAUGACAUGGUUGAAAUAUUUUCGCCGCAAGUCGAUACCGACAGCGCACCUGAUAAGCUGGUCGGUGCGAUGCCGAAGAAGAUGAGAUACCUGGGAAUUGCCGGCAGCGUGAUGCUUGCGAUGCUGCUCGGAUUCAUGGCUGGCUUUGCUGUUAGAAGGAAGACGGACCCGGCACGAUGGAGUCCUGUACAAGAUGAGGAAUCCUAAUUACUUCACCCUUACUCGAUUGUGUUGAAGUGCAAGAGAUCUACCAAUGUUCCUGUUUCAACAACCUUUACUCGCUAUUUUGGGAAGUUUUUCUCCAAUGUGGUGAAAAAUGUAAUCCCAAUCAGGGCUACUAUAAUUUGCAAGGCCCCUUCAAGGUGUCACUGGAAUAGCUUGAUGCAUGUUUGUGUGUUUUUCUGUCAAAAGGAUUUCACAUUCCAACAGAACAAUACCCAUGGCUCUUCUUUUUGCUUGUUCUGUCAGAUUUCUUACUGUUGAACCUUAGCAAUGCUAGAGAGGAUUUUUUGACAGAACUAUUACUCAUGUGAUCUACUGUACUUUUCAGCCCUUGUUCCCCUAGAGAACUUCUGAGUAGUAAUGGGAUCUAACAAACAGAGCUAUCCUGUGACCAUGGAGUGAUGCUAGAGACACUUGUAAGGUUUAUAGCUGUAGUUUUAGCCGAUUGAUCUGUUUGAACCCGGGUCCUGUUCCAACCCGGUAAGGUUUGUUUGUGUGGAGUCAUUUAGCGUUGACAUAAGUACUGAGCAU